rnacentral:rRNA from 1 species
GACCUCAAAUCAGGUAGGGCUACCCGCUGAACUUAAGCAUAUCAAUAAGCGGAGGAAAAGAAACUAACAAGGAUUCCCCCAGUAACGGCGAGCGAACAGGGAAGAGCUCAAAUUUGAAAUCUGGCGUCCUCAGGGCGUCCGAGUUGUAAUCUAUAGAGACGUUUUCCGUGCCGGACCGUGUCCAAGUCCCUUGGAACAGGGUAUCAAAGAGGGUGACAAUCCCGUACUUGACACGACGACCGGCGCUCUGUGAUACGUCUUCUACGAGUCGAGUUGUUUGGGAAUGCAGCUCAAAAUGGGUGGUGAGUUCCAUCUAAAGCUAAAUAUUGGCGAGAGACCGAUAGCGAACAAGUACCGUGAGGGAAAGAUGAAAAGCACUUUGGAAAGAGAGUC